rnacentral:rRNA from 1 species
UCAAGGAUUUAUUCGCUAUGAGAUGGACCCGCGUCGCAUUAGCUAGUUGGUAGGGUAAUGGCUUACCAAGGCGACGAUGCGUAGCCGACCUGAGAGGGUGAUCGGCCACAUUGGGACUGAGACACGGCCCAGACUCCUACGGGAGGCAGCAGUGGGGAAUAUUGCACAAUGGGGGAAACCCUGAUGCAGCAACGCCGCGUGAGUGAUGACGGUCUUCGGAUUGUAAAGCUCUGUCUUUGGGGACGAUAAUGACGGUACCCAAGGAGGAAGCCACGGCUAACUACGUGCCAGCAGCCGCGGUAAUACGUAGGUGGCGAGCGUUAUCCGGAAUUAUUGGGCGUAAAGGGAGCGUAGGCGGAUAAUUAAGUGGGAUGUGAAAUACUCAGGCUCAACCUGGGGGCUGCAUUCCAAACUGAUUAUCUAGAGUGCAGGAGAGGAGAGUGGAAUUCCUAGUGUAGCGGUGA